AUGGCUUGUUAGGACCGGUUUCGAUACCGUUCGAUUGCGUAACGUACGUUCGACGUGCGGAAUCCGUGAACGUAUGUGAUCGAACACUCAAUAACGUACGAGAAAACGUGAUUCUAUAUAGAUGACGUCGUGUACAAUGCCGUGAAUCACUUGGAGAGACUUUCUCUCUCUACAACUAGAUCUCUAAUUCUCCAAAAUAAGCUCCAAGUCUUCCAAAAGUCUUAACCUUUACAACUUAAUAAGCUAUUUAUAGGCACAAGGGUUAUAAGGAUUUCUCCUUAUUUACAAGUUUGCCACCUUGCCCUUUUUUAACUAAUUAUAACCUAAAAGCUUAAAAACCUUCGGUUUCUUUGAUUUCUGCUACGGAACAGAUUGACGGAGGCGAUAGACAGAUAUUGCACUAACAAUAAGAACACAAUAAUAAAUGAAUAUUUCACGUGCAAAAGUUCAUGAUUUGCAGAAACAGUUAUUGAGCUAUAGAUAUGCUCUAAUGGCAUAGUAGUAACUAGUAUAAUACCUU
rnacentral:lncRNA from 1 species